UCAUUUGCCACUUCCCGGUCGCGGGUGAAGUGCUGCGUCUCCCCGCCCUCUCUCCUCGCCGACUCCGGGUUCUAGGAAGAUGGCGAAGGUCACUGAGCGUUACGAUGUGACUUGGGAAGAAAUGCGAGAUAAAAUGAGAAAAUGGCGAGAAGAAAACUCAAGAAAUAGUGAACAAAUUAUGGAAGUUGGAGAAGAAUUAAUUAAUGAUUAUGCUUCUAAGCUUGGGGAUGACAUUUGGAUCAUAUAUGAGCAGGUCAUGAUUGCAGCCCUAGACUAUGGUCGGGAUGACUUGGCAUUGUUUUGUCUUCAGGAAUUAAGAAGACAAUUCCCUGGUAGUCACAGAGUUAAGCGGUUAACAGGCAUGCGAUUUGAAGCUAUGGAAAGAUAUGACGAUGCUAUACAACUGUAUGAUCGGAUUUUGCAAGAAGAUCCAACUAACACUGCUGCCAGAAAGCGUAAGAUUGCCAUUCGAAAAGCCCAGGGGAAAACCGUGGAGGCCAUCCGAGAGCUGAAUGAGUAUCUGGAGCAGUUUGUUGGAGACCAAGAAGCCUGGCAUGAACUUGCAGAACUUUAUAUCAAUGAACACGACUAUGCCAAAGCAGCUUUUUGCUUAGAGGAGCUGAUGAUGACAAAUCCACAUAACCACUUAUACUGUCAGCAGUAUGCAGAAGUCAAAUACACCCAAGGUGGACUUGAAAACCUCGAGCUUUCAAGAAAGUAUUUUGCACAGGCACUGAAACUCAACAACAGGAACAUGAGAGCUCUGUUUGGGCUCUACAUGGUGAGUUGAUUCUGCAAGUCAUAUUGCUUCUAAUCCAAAAGCAAGUGCAAAAAUGAAAAAAGACAACAUCAAAUAUGCUAGUUGGGCCGCUAAUCAAAUAAACAGGGCUUAUCAGUUUGCAGGUCGAAGUAAGAAGGAAACCAAAUACUCUCUUAAGGCAGUUGAAGACAUGUUGGAGACAUUGCAGAUCACUCAGUCUUGAGGUUUCAGGAACCCAUUUGACGUUAGAUUUCAAACUACACAGUUGAACUUUUUGGCCUGUGACUGAAUUUACUAAAUAUCUAGUGCUAUUUGUAUUCUAAUUUUCUCUGAAGAGGUUGUUAUAAAGAAUGUUUAACUAAACCUCAGCUUGCCUUGUACUGCUAGGAAGCAGGGAGAUGGAGGUAAUCCAUGGGACAGAGAUUUAAGACCUAUUGAUUGUAUAUCCAUCCUCGUAUAUCACCCCUACACCUUAUUAAAUAAACCAUGGUUUAUUAAACUCAUGUAUGAAAAUUCUA